CGUGUAGGCGGUUUGGUAAGUCAGAUGUGAAAGCCCUGGGCUUAACCCAGGAAGUGCAUUUGAUACUGCCAAUCUUGAGUAUGGGAGAGGAGAUUGGAAUUCCCAGUGUAGAGGUGAAAUUCGUAGAUAUUGGGAGGAACACCCGUGGCGAAGGCGACUCUCUGGACCAAUACUGACGCUGAGACGCGAAAGCGUGGGGAGCAAACA
rnacentral:rRNA from 1 species